CAACAGGGAUUGCCCUAGUAACGGCGAGUGAAGCGGCAACAGCUCAAAUUUGAAAUCUGGCCUUCGGGUCCGAGUUGUAAUUUGCAGAGGAUGCUUUUGGCGCGGUGCCUUCCGAGUUCCCUGGAACGGGACGCCUUAGAGGGUGAGAGCCCCGUACGGUUGGACACCAAGCCUCUGUAAAGCUCCUUCGACGAGUCGAGUAGUUUGGGAAUGCUGCUCUAAAUGGGAGGUAAAUUUCCUCUAAAGCUAAAUACCGGCCAGAGACCGAUAGCGCACAAGUAGAGUGAUCGAAAGAUGAAAAGCACUUUGAAAAGAGGGUUAAAUAGCACGUGAAAUUGUUGAAAGGGAAGCGUUUACGGCCAGACCUUUUCCUGGCGGAUCAUCUGGUGUUCUCACCAGUGCACUUCGCCAGGUUUAGGCCAGCAUCGGCUUCUGUAGGGGGAUAAAAGCAGUGGGAAAGUAGCUCCCUCGGGAGUGUUAUAGCCCUAAGCAUAAUACCCUUACGGGGGCCGAGGACCGCGCUCUUGCAAGGAUGCUGGCGUAAUGGUCGUCAACGA
rnacentral:rRNA from 2 species